UGCGCAGGCGGCUUAUUAAGUCAGUGGUGAAAUCUCUCGGCUCAACCGAGAAACUGCCAUUGAAACUGAUAAGCUUGAGUGUAGUUGUAGUAGGCGGAAUAUAGCAUGUAGCGGUGAAAUGCUUAGAUAUGCUAUAGAACACCGAACGCGAAGGCAGCUUACUAAACUAUCACUGACGCUCAUGCACGAAAGCGUGGGGAGCAAACAGGAUUAGAUACCCUGGUAGUCC
rnacentral:rRNA from 1 species